GUGUUUAGGAUGACUCAGGGUUAAACUGUCAACCCUGAUAGAUCAUCCGAAUCAUGCUCAACUCAAAUAGUCCUGUGACUCCUCACAAGGACUACCCUGGCCAAGGUUUUGCUAAAUUGAAACAUGACUGUACAUAGCUCCUAAACUGGAGUGGUCAAUCUCAUCUUGACACACGCACCGACAAGUCAAGUACUUGACUACACCCAGCAGCCUUCCGUCAUUGAAUUAAAAAUUUAGGUAGUUCAGUGCCUAAGUGCAGUGAGUUGCUUGCAAGUCACCAUGGCGGUC
rnacentral:lncRNA from 1 species